UACGAAGGGGGCUAGCGUUGCUCGGAAUCACUGGGCGUAAAGCGCACGUAGGCGGCUUUCUAAGUCAGGGGUGAAAUCCUGGAGCUCAACUCCAGAACUGCCUUUGAUACUGGAGAGCUUGAGUCCGGGAGAGGUGAGUGGAACUCCGAGUGUAGAGGUGAAAUUCGUAGAUAUUCGGAAGAACACCAGUGGCGAAGGCGGCUCACUGGCCCGGUACUGACGCUGAGAUGCGAAAGCGUGGGGAGCAAACAGG
rnacentral:rRNA from 1 species